CCGCGGGAUUAGAGUUUGAUCCUGGCUCAGAGUGAACGCUGGCGGCAUGCCUAACACAUGCAAGUCGAACGGUAACAGGCCCGCAAGGGUGCUGACGAGUGGCGGACGGGUGAGGAAUACAUCGGAAUUUGCCCAGUCGUGGGGGAUAACGUAGGGAAACUUACGCUAAUACCGCAUACGACACCGUGUUGAAAGAUGCGGGGUGAAAGCGGGGGAUCUGUAAGGACCUCGCGCGAGUGGAUGAGCCGAUGUCGGAUUAGCUAGUUGGCGGGGUAAAGGCCCACCAAGGCGACGAUCCGUAGCUGGUCUGAGAGGAUGAUCAGCCACACUGGGACUGAGACACGGCCCAGACUCCUACGGGAGGCAGCAGUGGGGAAUAUUGGACAAUGGGGGCAACCCUGAUCCAGCAAUGCCGCGUGUGUGAAGAAGGCCUUCGGGUUGUAAAGCACUUUUAUCCGGAACGAAACGCGCAGGGUGAAUAUCCUUGCGAACUGACGGUACCGGAGGAAUAAGCACCGGCUAACUUCGUGCCAGCAGCCGCGGUAAUACGAAGGGUGCAAGCGUUACUCGGAAUUACUGGGCGUAAAGGGUGCGUAGGUGGUUGUUUAAGUCUGCUGUGAAAGCCCCGGGCUCAACCUGGGAAUGGCAGUGGAUACUGGACAGCUAGAGUGCGGUAGAGGGUAGUGGAAUUCCCGGUGUAGCAGUGAAAUGCGUAGAGAUCGGGAGGA
rnacentral:rRNA from 1 species